CCUACGGGGGGCAGCAGUGGUGAAUAUUGCACAAUGGGGGGAACCCUGAUGCAGCGACGCCGCGUGAGUGAAGAAGUAUUUCGGUAUGUAAAGCUCUAUCAGCAGGGAAGAAGAUGACGGUACCUGACUAAGAAGCCCCGGCUAACUACGUGCCAGCAGCCGCGGUAAUACGUAGGGGGCAAGCGUUAUCCGGAUUUACUGGGUGUAAAGGGAGCGUAGACGGCAGGGCAAGUCUGGAGUGAAAGCCCGGGGCCCAACCCCGGGACUGCUUUGGAAACUGCCAUGCUAGAGUGCUGGAGAGGUAAGCGGAAUUCCUAGUGUAGCGGUGAAAUGCGUAGAUAUAUGGAAGAACACCAGUGGCGAAAGCGGCUCUCUGGUCUGUAACUGACGCUGAGGUUCGAAAGCGUGGGUAGCAAACAGGAUUAGAUACCCGAGUAGUC
rnacentral:rRNA from 1 species